GCUUUUCUGAAAUUACAGGAAGAAGCAGGAAGACUCAAAUUCGUAUGUGUUUCGAACGACAGUGUUGAUGAGCAUAUGGUUUGGUUAAUAGGAUUGAAGAACAUUUUUGCUAGGCAACUACCUAAUAUGCCGAGGGAAUACAUUGUUCGUCUGAUAAUGGAUAG